UACGGGGGGGGCAAGCGUUGUUCGGAAUUACUGGGCGUAAAGCGCACGUAGGCGGCUUUGUAAGUUAGAGGUGAAAGCCCGGGGCUCAACCCCGGAAUUGCCUUUAAGACUGCAUCGCUUGAAUUGUGGAGAGGUGAGUGGAAUUCCGAGUGUAGAGGUGAAAUUCGUAGAUAUUCGGAAGAACACCAGUGGCGAAGGCGACUCACUGGACACAUAUUGACGCUGAGGUGCGAAAGCGUGGGGAGCAAACAGG
rnacentral:rRNA from 1 species